AGUAAGUGCAGUAGGUAGGCCAAGAUAACUAUUAAGUAUGUCCUAACAAGGUAGCUGCUUGAAAAAAAUAAUGCACAUAAAUUAAAAAAAAAAAAACUAUUUUCACUCAUUCUUAACUUCUCGUAUGGAUGUACUAACGGGAGGCCUGUGCCUGUUGGGCUGUCCACAGCUACUCAAACCUUGAGAUUAGAUUGGACGCUAUCUAAUCUCAUUUCCUGUUACACAAUAACUUCUGCAUGGCACUUGCUUUUAAUCAUGACAACUGCCAUACACUCAGCUUUACAAAAUCAUGUCAUUGUGGAAAGGAAGUUCCCUCCAUCUAACAUUCAAAUUUAACUAUCCUGAGCUGGUAGUUUGCAAGGUGUCCAACAGAUGUCACUGUGUUUCCUUCGCAAAUUCUCUAAAAUAGUCUGCUGUGUCCCGGGGCAUAGUAGAUAUUCAAGAAAUGGUGGCUAUGAGUUUUAUCACAAUUCUCUCCUACUGGGUGAGCAGCUGUUUGCAAGACUAAAAUUCGGGCGAGGCACAGGCUUCCCCUUGGUCUUAGCAGCUAGCACAAGACGAGUGUCCCUUCAGCCAGUCUCAGAGCUCUUUGGCAAUUCAACUGACCCUUGUCCUUCAGUCCAGACAAUGCCCCAGGGCCCACCUGCAUUCAAACUCGGACUGUUCUCCUUCCCACCCCUAUUAUCUUUUCAACUUUAUGGACAGUACAUGCAAUUUUCUCAUUCAUUUUCUCAUUUAACAUCUAACAGCUUCAUGAUAUCCCCAUUUUACAGAUAAGGAAACCAAGGCUUUAAGAGGAUAGGGACCCUAAUCGGCUAAGGCAGAAUUAGGAUUUGAACCCAGAUCCCCAUGACGCCAGAAUCUAAGCCUUGACCAAAUAUGUGUUACUAUUACUUUUGUUGUUGUUGUUGUUCUGGGUAACUCCAACCCUCUGCUCGUUGGCCUUGUCACCUCAGUGCUGAUUUUGCAGAUGAAGAGACUAAGGUUCCGAGGUGCUAGAGCACAGUGGUUAGGAACACACACUCUAGAGCCAGAGUGCCUGGGUUUGAGCCUCGUUCUGCCGUUUACUAGCCGUAUGGCCUUGGGCAACUUGCUUAACUUCUCUUUGCCUCAGUUCCUCUUCUCUUGGGUUGUUAGGAGAAUGAAUGAGGUGAUAUCCACAGUGUCCAACACCCUGCAAGCGGCCAGGUGUGGUGGAUCACACCUGCAAUCCCAGCACUUUGGGAGGCCGAGGCAGGUGGAUCAUUUGAGGUCAGGAGUUCGAGACCAGUCUGGCCAACAUGGCGAAACCUCAUUUCUACUAAAAAUACAAAAAUUAGCCGGGCGUGGUGGCAAACAACUGUAAUCCGAGCUACUAGGGAGGCUGAGGCAGAAGAAUCGCUUGAACCCAGGAGACAGAGGUUGCAGUGAGCCAAGAUUGCACCACUGCACUCCAGCCUGGGCGACAGAGUGAGACCCUGCCUCAAAAACUAAAAAUAAAAAAUGAACAGUGUCCAACACCUUGAAAGCAUUCCGCAUGACUGAACGAUCACUGUUACGUGAUUACCAACAUGACGACCCCACUUCUCUUGGCCAAACUGAGUUCUCUUCUCUUGUAAAAACUUCUGCAUAUGAAGUCACCCAUUCCAUUUGACUCUUUAGCCCUCAUCCUGGCAUUCAAGGGCAUGGACGACUCAACCCCACUCUCUAGCCAGCCUGACCUCUCCAUUCCCUUCUCUGGCGUAGAGGCCACUCCCACCACCUGCCCUUACCCCCUGCCCACUUUUGUCAGCCUGUACUGUGUUGAAGCUCCCAGGAGAGACAACUGCAGUCAUCACUUUCCACUGUGUUCAGUGAUGUCAGUUCGGCCCAGCUGGAGGUACUCACAUCAUGGAAACAGACCAUCAGAUUUGGUGUGUGUGUGUUUUAUUUUGCUUUUUCAGAGAGCCAGCUGUUAAACACUAGCCAACACCCCAUUGAUGCUGUUCCUUCUACCUGAAACACCUCGCAUUGCCGGUGAGCUCUAAAGACAAAAGGACCUGGGUCUGCAUUUCCCAAAGGCAAGACUCUGGUAUCACCUGCAUAUUAUUUUCCCAUAUUUGAGCACCACUGCCUUUUGCAUUAUUUACUUAGCAGUUUUGCUCCUGUCAACUCACUUUUUUAAAACUAAACUUAUUUUAAAAAGAAAAGUUUUGGCCGGGAGCGGUGGCUCAUGCCUGUAAUCCCAGCACUUUGGGAGGCCGAGGUGGGCAGAUCACCUGAGGUCGGGAGUUCGAGACCAGCCUGACCAACAUGGAGAAACUCCGUCUCUACUAAAAAUACAAAAUUAGCUGGGCGUGGUGGCGCAUGCCUGUAAUCCUAGCUACUCGGGAGGCUGUGGCAGGAGAAUUGCUUGAACCCAGGAGGCGGGGGUUGCAGUGAGUCGAGAUCGCCCCAUUGUACUCCAGCCUGGGGAACAAGAACGAAACUCCGUCUC
rnacentral:lncRNA from 10 species